GACGAACGCUGGCGGCGUGCCUAACACAUGCAAGUCGAACGGAAAGGCCCCUUUGGGUGUCCUCGAGUGGCGAACGGGUGCGUAACACGUGAGUAACCUGCCCUUGACUCCGGGAUAACUUCAGGAAACUGGGGCUAAUACCGGUUAGGAAUCCUUGCUGCAUGGUGGGGGUUCGAAAGCUUCGGCGGCUUUGGAUGGACUCGGGGGCUAUCAGCUUGUUGGUGGGGUAGUGGCUUACCAAGGCUUAGACGGGUAGCCGGCCUGAGGGGGCGACCGGCCAGAAUGGAAAUGAGAUACGGGCCAGAGUCCGGAGGGAGGGAGCAGGGGGGAAUAUUGGACAAAGGGAGGAAGCCUGAUGCAGGAACGCCGCGGGCGGGAUGAGGGCCUUCGGGGUGUAAGCCGCGUUCAGCAGGGGCGAAGCGUGUGGUGAAGGGAACUGAAGGAGAAGGACCCGGUAACUACGUGG
rnacentral:rRNA from 1 species